rnacentral:tRNA from 1 species
ACCCGGAUUGUAUAGAAAAUUCCAGCUAUACUGGGUAUUGGGGACUGUGAAUCCCUAGACGCGGGUUCAAUUCCCGCUCCGGGUC